rnacentral:rRNA from 1 species
UACGGAGGAUCCAAGCGUUAUCCGGAUUCAUUGGGUUUAAAGGGUGCGUAGGCGGAAUGAUAAGUCAGUGGUGAAAGCCUACAGCUUAACUGUAGAAUUGCCAUUGAUACUGUCAAUCUUGAGUACAUUUGAUGUGGGCGGAAUGUGUCAUGUAGCGGUGAAAUGCUUAGAUAUGACACAGAACACCGAUUGCGAAGGCAGCUCACAAAACUGUAACUGACGCUGAUGCACGAAAGCGUGGGUAUCAAACAGGAUUAGAUACCCGGUA